rnacentral:rRNA from 1 species
AUGAAGAUGGCGACUUGCAUUCGUAAGGUGGCCUCGGAGGAGUUUGGAGUGUCCAGGGGAAGGAGAAGCGAAGAUAAGGAUACCUGGUGGUGGAAUGAUGAUGUCCAGAAGGCGCUUAAAGAGAAGAAAGAUUGCUUCAGAUGCCUAUACCUGGAUAGGAGUGCAGACAACAUAGAGAAGUACAAGAUGGCGAAGAAGGCCGCAAAGCGAGCUGUUGGUGAAGCAAGGGGUCGGGCAUAUGAGGACCUCUACCAACGGUUAGGCACGAAGGAAGGUGAAAGGGACAUCUAUAAGAUGGCUAAGAUCCGGGAGAGGAAGAUGAGGGAUAUUGGCCAAGUCAAAUGCAUCAAGGACGGAGCAGGCCAACUCUUGGUGAAGGACGAAGAGAUUAAGUAUAGAUGGCGGGAGUACUUCGACAAGCUGUUCAAUGGGGAGAAUGAGAGUUCUACCAUUGAACUGAAUGACUCCUUUGAUGAGACCAGCAUGCGUUUUGUGCGGCGCAUCCAGAAGUCUGAGGUGAAGGAGGCUUUAAAAAGGAUGAAAGGAGGCAAGGCGAUGGGCCCUGAUUGUAUCUCCAUUGAGGUGUGGAAAGGUCUUGGGGACAUAGCGAUAGUAUGGCUAACCAAGCUUUCCAACCUCAUUUUUCGGGCAAACAAGAUGCCAGAAGAAUGGAGACGGAGUAUAUUAGUACCAAUCUUCAAGAACAAGGGGGAUGUUCAGAGUUGUACUAAUUACCGUGGAAUUAAGCUGAUGAGCCAUACAAUGAAGCUAUGGGAGAGAGUCAUUGAGCACCGCUUAAGAAGAAUGACAAGCGUGACCAAAAAUCAGUUUGGUUUCAUGCCUGGGAGGUCGACCAUGGAAGCCAUUUUCUUGGUACGACAACUUAUGGAGAGAUAUAGG